UGCCCCUUGGCCCAGUUGGUGAAGGCGCACGACUGUUAUAAGAUUCAAUCGUGAGAUCGCAAGUUCGAACCUUGCAGGGGCAG